GACGAACGCUGGCGGCGUGCCUAAUACAUGCAAGUAGAACGCACAGUUUAUACCGUGGCUUGCUACACCAUAGACAGUGAGGUGCGAACGGGUGAGAAACGCGUAGGUAACCUGCCUGGCAGCGGGGGAUAACUAUUGGAAACGAUAGCUAAUACCGCAUAAUAUUAAUUAUUGCAUGAUAAUUAAUUGAAAGGUGCAAUUGAACCACUACCAGAUGGACCUGCGUUGUAUUAGCUAGUAGGUGAGGUAACGGCACACCGAGGCGACGAUUCAUAGCCGACCCUGGAGGGUGGUCGGCCACACCGGGACUGGGACACGGGCCCGGCUCCUUCGGGAGGCCGCCGUAGGGAAUCUUCGGCCAUGGGCGGAAGUCUGACCGAGCCACGCCGCGUUAGCGGAUAAGGGUUUCGGGUCGUAAAGCUCUGUUGUAAGGGAAGAACGGGUGUGAUGGUGGAAAGUUGACACUGUGACGGUAUCUUACCAGAAAGCGACGGCUAACUACGUG
rnacentral:rRNA from 1 species